GCCGCCCCGGGCUCACUUCCGCUGAUGGAGGCGCUGAGGCGCUGGGCGCGGGCGCUGUGUCUCGGGGCGCUGCCGGUGGCAUUGGGCGCGGUUCUGUGGGCAGCGGUGGCGGCGGGAGAAGAGCGGAGACGCGAAGAGAUCCGGGCCCUCCCCGAGCUGACUCCGGAGCUGCUGGAGGAGCGACGGCGGCACAACGUGCUGCUGUUCCAGGCCCUGCAGGAAGCGGCCACCACCGAGGAGAACGUGGCAAGGCGCCCGGUGCCGUGGCGGAAGUGAGGGCCGCUUCCGGAAAGUCGUUUCCGGCCACUUCCUGUGGGUUCCGGCACUACUUUUCUGCUCACUUCCGGUGUAUGUUCCCUCACUUCCGGCGCUAUGGCGGCGGACCAGCGGUCGUUGUUGGCUCGGUGCUGGAGCUGCCGUUUCCUGGGGGGGACCGCGCUGCUCGUCGCCGCGGCGUGGAUCUACCGGCGCCCGCGGGCCCUCAUACGGAGCGGGUUGACCCCCGGCAUGGGCGACGUGGCGCAGAUCACCUUCGCCAUCUGUGUCGGUGCGUGGGGGGUCGUGAUCCUGGUGGACCCCGUUGGGAAACAGAUUUACAGCGGAACGGCCCCGCAGCACCGCCCCGGGGGGGACACGGAGAGCCGGGCUGGGGGGACGGCGGCACCGUGACGUGGUGACACUGCAGCGUGGUGAGGGGGGGACAGCUGGGUGUGGUGAGACUGUGAGGCGGUGACAAAGGGAUGCGGGGACAGCCACACAUGGGGACGGCGCCACAAAUAAAGGUGUACGG
rnacentral:lncRNA from 7 species